UCAAGGAAACCCUCUGUGAGUCAGAGAACGAUGUCUUCAACAUGGAGGCUGAUGAAGAAAUUAAGAACUUGAAGUUAAAGUGAUUUGCCCCUGCCACAAAGGAUUUCUGGAGAGGGAGGAAGUGGAAACUUUUUCUUGUAAUCAUAAUCUACUUUAGGAGAUGUCAACAGGCGAGAAUCCUGCUAUGUUGGGCUAUAGAUUAUGAAUGCUUAAAGGAAAUUGAUUAUAUGGAUUUGCAGCAGCCAUUAAAAAUGAUGAUCAAAAUGAUGAUCAGAGGUUCUUGAAAGAGUAAAAGUAAGGUUCACAGAUGUUCUACAAACAAGUACUGGGGAAGUCCAUUGUUAGACAAUCACCAGAGAAUCAGAAGAAAAUCAGAAUAUUUUGUUGACUUCCCUGUAUCUGGGUCAUAGUGAAGUACUUCCCAAGAAAUAAAAUUUAUAAACACCAUCCCUUUCUGAUGAUU
rnacentral:lncRNA from 1 species